rnacentral:misc_RNA from 1 species
UCCGGUUUGUCACCGGCAGUCCCACUAGAGUGCCCAACUGAAUGAUGGCAACUAGUGGCAAGGGUUGCGCUCGUUGCGGGACUUAACCCAACAUCUCACGACACGAGCUGACGACAGCCAUGCAGCACCUGUGUCCAGGCUCCCUUUCGGGCACCCCCACCUCUCGGCAGGGUUCCUGGCAUGUCAAGGGUAGGUAAGGUUUUUCGCGUUGCAUCGAAUUAAUCCACAUCAUCCACCGCUUGUGCGGGUCCCCGUCAAUUCCUUUGAGUUUUAAUCUUGCGACCGUACUCCCCAGGCGGCGAACUUCACGCGUUAGCUACGGUACUAAAGAAGUCUCCUUCUCCAACACCUAGUUCGCAUCGUUUAGGGCGUGGACUAC